rnacentral:rRNA from 1 species
GACGAACGCUGGCGGCGUGGAUUAGGCAUGCAAGUCGAACGGUAUCAUCCUUUCGGGGGUGAGAGAGUGGCGAACUGGUGAGUAACACGUAGGUUAUCUACCCUCAAGACGGGACAACCCAGGGAAACUUGGGCUAAUACCGGAUGUGAGCAACCUUUAGUGUUUGAAAGGUGGCGUAAGCUGUCGCUUGGGGAUGAGCCUGCGUCCUAUUAGUUAGUUGGUGAGGUAACGGCUCACCUAGGCAAUGAUAGGUAGGCGGCCUUAACGGGUGGUCGCCCACACUGGGAUUGAGAUACGGCCCAGACUCCUACGGGAGGCAGCAGUCGAGAAUAGUCUACAAUGGUCGGAAGACUGAUAGUGCGACGCCGCGUGAACGAUGAAUCCCUUCGGGGUGUAAAGUUCUUUUAUAUGUGAGCAGUGCUUCUUAUAUUAACAGUAUGGGGAGAGAGAUAUUAGCAUAUGAAUAAGCAACGGCUAACUCCGUG